AACGUUUCAGGAGCAUUUAUGUGCACCUUGUGUGAUACUGUUCUUGUGUGUCCCUGAAGGAAACGGGCGGGCCCAGCAAAUGAGUGCUCAGAUUGCAGAGCCAGGCUGCUGCUGUCCUCUGGUCUCAAAGCUUUCCAAAAAGGCAGAGUAAGUGAUGACUUCAGGACAUGGAGUUCCAGAGAAAACUGGAGAGAGGAGCGAAGUCUCCUUGAUUGGGGAGAUGGAGAAAAAUGCCCACAGAGGGUGUGGUCUUUUAGUGUCAACACAGUCAAAAGACCCCUGUGCUAUCUACCUGUGUGCCCGCCUGCCUGGUGAGUGCCGGGCCCGCGGGAGCUGUCAACAGAGUCGCAGAAUGAAUGUUCCUGGAGGUCAGCAACUAAGUCAACACCACGGUUGGAAAAUUUCCAGCAUGUGGUCCUGGAAAAUGUUCUUAUUGCAAACAGAGUUUUCCAGGCACUACCAUUUCUUCCACAACCUGUGUAAGAGGGCAGAGACUGAAUUCAUGAGGCAGGAAAGGCUCUGGCUGCCCUUGGGCUGGUCACCAAAGGCCUAUCCAAUCAUUAAUUAGAUUGUGUCAAUGUUUGAGAAUUGUUGAAACAGAACAUUGUACUGGAACAUUUUGUCUGGAUAUUUUACUGUCCUGCAAAUGACAUGAAAACAUGCUUUUAAAACUGAGGGUUCAGAGACCCUGAGUAACUCAGUUUGGGGCCUCUCUACCAGUCAAUUCUGAAGGGACUUUGGUCUGUGACAACAAGUGGGAGAAGCAAACAGCAUGCUAAAGGAAAGAAGAAAUUUUGCCUGCAAUGCUGUGUUAGCUACAUUGCCAAUUCUCCAACAUUCUGUGCCCUUGAUGCCCCGAGGGGCUGGCGGUUGUGUUCUGCAUCGCCAGGGGCUGCCUUCUAGUUGAAUUUGGCGAAUGGAUGCACCAGCGGGUGAUUGGAGUGCUGGAGGAGAGAAAUGUCAGGUGUUUCCUCUGCUUCUGGACUCUGGCAGUAGCUAUGAUCUCCUAUACGGUCUUUAUCAAGGGGUCCAUCUGCUGCCCCCACUUCAUCAAACACACAGCUUUGGCUCUCACUGGGCUCCUGUAACACUAUCCUUUUGCCCCCUUAGAUCCACUGUUGCUAGGCUCUAGUUGUCUUGCCUCUGUGAAUAGUCCCUUUGACACAGUCUCUUCAUUUGAGCCCUCUGCAGGAUCUGCUUCUCUGCCGGAUCCUGACAGAAAUAGGCCAACUUCCUGGUCAUAACAAGUUUCUUGAGGGAAGUAAAUUUCACACACUCAGCAUUAUUGCUGUUGCUUGUUCCUGACGUUUGAUUUUUCCUUAUGGGAGAGAUUGUCUUUGUGCAUACUGGCAAUCUGAAAGACGGCAGGGUGCAGAGCAGGGAGCUGUGGACGAAAGUGCUGGAAGGCUCCCGCACACAGGUGCAGCAAGAUGGUGAGCUGUGCAGCGGGCAGGGUCAAGAGAUGGGAAAAGGAGGGCAGGGUAGCAGAACACAAGCAUAAGAGACACAGACAUGCUCUGCCCGGAUUGUGGAGCAUGUGGUCCAGCAAACAGCUUGCAGCUGACAUGAACUUCCGGGUCUGCCUCAGCGCAGAGGAACGCCUCGUGCAAGCUCAUCCCUUACCAGAGCAGCUUGACUGGGCAGGCAGGGAUAUAAAG
ensembl:lncRNA